UUUGGGUCCAAUUGUUAAAUUUUCAAACGUCAUUUUACUUCUUGGCUUCUUGCACAUCAUAGUACUUUGAUUUAUCCUCAGCACAUAGUGUUUAGAUGAUUUGUUAGAGCAGGUUAUGGUUCGGUUUAAUGUGGUAUCAGUUAUGUGUUGGUAGAUAGCGGUAUUUGGGGUAUAAGCCAUUGUAGAUACGAGAUAAGUAUCGAGAAGAUAUGGGUAGGACGAGAUCUAGUAUGUUUAGAUUCUCUUGUAUCACGUAUAUAUAUAAGCGUUACUCUGAUGAAUAACAACACACAACAUUCUCAACAUAUUCUUCCUAGUUUACAUGGUCUCAGAGCGAUAAGAUCCUUUGACAUAAUUUACUACAACUACUACUAUACCGAUGUUGGGUCCUCUGUGGAUGUUAUUCCCACAUUGUCCACGCUUCAGACCUAGAUGUCUGAGCGUGAGGGAGGGUAUUGAUGAGAAACAUCUCACAUCAGAAAUAUAUGAAUUAAUCUACUACUAUAUAAAGAGUUAGGGUCAAUCCACUCAUCGCCAAUUGGUUUUAAGUUGGAAGCCCAAGAAACUUAACAUGGUAUCGGUUAUGUGUUGGUAGAUAGCGUUACUUGGGGUAUAAGCCAUUAUAGAUACGAGAUAAGUAUCGAGAAGAUAUGGGUAGAAGGAGAUCUAGUAUGUUUAGAUUCUCUUGUAUCACGUAUAUAUGUAAGCGUUACUCUGAUGAAUAACAACACACAACAUUCUCAACAUAUUCUUCCUAGUUUACAUGAUUCACCGUAAAAACAUUUUUCUUUUGAGAAAAGACUUUGCAUACACAAAAUAAUCUAGAAGGCAGUUGUUUUUUGGGCUUGUCCCAUUACAUCAAGUUGAUAAUUAAACAUUAGGACGGGUCUGGCCCCAUUUGAACUACAAAUAAACACAAUUACAUAUAGAGAAACUGAAAAGGUGAUUGACCCUGAGUCAGUGAUUGCGAAAGGAAGGAGAUCAUGCUUAGUCAUCGAGCCAAAUUUGAAUCAUCUUGGAGACCGAAGAGAGAGAUGGGUUGCAGAGCAAAAGCUGGAGAUAUGAUUUAUGAUGAGAACAUCUGCUUGCUUCGAGAUGGAAGAGGUGGUGCGGAAUUUUUGGCGGUGAAGCCUACUAUUUCGCUCAAACCAAAGAAGGUAGAUCGUCGCUUGCCAUGCUACCUGAGUUAGAAGUUUAUGAUGUUUACAUUUGGCAUGCAAACUGGUCCAUAAGCCCAAUUCCUUGUUGGUGUCCAGUUUUUUUUUCUCGUCAAAUCUUACCAUAAGUUCUAAGAGAAUGGGCAUUCAAAGUAGAGGACAACUAUUCAGAACUGUUUGCCAAGUGAGAAAAUUACACCGUGGAAUCCCUCUGGAUAACCAAACCCCCUUAUGCCAAGGUAUUGGAAGUUGAUGGAUUUUGAUUGCAUUGUAGAUCAUCCCAGUUGAGUACAACGAUUUAUGAGUUCCUAAAGGUGACCAUUCGAAGAUGUAUUUCUCCAAAAUAAGAAUGAUGGUGGAGAGGUAGACGUGAAGAGAUAGUUGUGUUUCAGAGUUCAGACCAUGGAUGAGGGAGUAGCCAGCUUCCUCGUUGAUAUAGAUCAUGGAGGGUCAUUUUCUGUCGAAUACCAAGGCUUUAAGAUGCAGGGAGGUCAAAAUAGAAUAGAAUUUCAAGUUCUCAGACGGACUCCAGCGGUCUGACCAGAACCUAGUGUUCCUUCCAUUUCGAGGUAUUGUUUUUAUCCAGUUGUAAGCAUAAUCUCGUAAGAUAUUUUUAGUCGAUGAGGAGUGAGUUUGUUUUUUCUUAAUGAUCCACAUGUUGCUUAUGUUACAUGAGAGGAUGUUUUUGAUGAACCAAGCAAUCCAAAUAGAGCAUGCUUUGGAAAAAAGAAUCCAUAUCAACUUGAUUGAGCAAGAUUUAUUCCAAGAUACCAACUCUCUGAUCCCAAGACUUCCUUCUGACUUCGCUAAGGUUGUUGAACCCCACAUGAGAAGACGAAAGUUUUAGAGAUGCUGAUUGAGGGUACAAAGAGCUGUUUGAAGUCAUUCAGAACCUCAAGGACGUUUUGAACUGAACGGAAUGAUCCAUCAUAAAAUACUAACAAGUUAUCUGCAAAGCAAAGGAAAAAAAAAGGUCUCUCUGCCUGAGUCCUCUUGUACUUUUGGAGAAGCCUUGGACUGUUCCACUUAAUCUUAUCAUAAAACUUGGCGAAGUAAUACAAAAAUGGACCCACUUGAUGAAUUAAGAAGGCAGAUUAAUCCCACGGAGACAAUUGAAGAUAAAGUCCCAAUUGACUGUAUCAAAAGCUUUGACAAUGUCUAUUUUAAUGGAUAAGGUAUAGAAGUAGAUGUUGGACCCAAUUUCGGUCAAUAUGUAAAUGGGCCACGAUCAACUGAAUGGGCCGCGAAGAGUUGAAGCCCACUGCAAGCACUCGAGCUCCAAACGGAGACUUCGAAGACCCGGAGAUCGCGGAACGGCUGCUGAGAUUGCGGAGCAGUUGCGAACAUCAUGAGGGCAGCAUGCUAUAACAAGAAGUCGACGCAUAAAGAAGAGACACGUUGAAAAUCCUAGAGAGAGCUACACCCACACUUCGACCUUGUAUUCAUCCAUCUUUAGAUUUUUUCUCUUAAGCGAUCUCGUUGUAACAUUCGAUCUUGUUUUACUCAUUGUAUCCGAUCUUAUUCAUCAAUAACGUCCAUUUUUACCUA